UAGUUAACGCGUGGGAACGUGCCCUUCACUACGGAAUAGUCCCGGGAAACUGGGUUUAAUACCGUAUACGCCCUUCGGGGGAAAGAAUUUCGGUGAAGGAUCGGCCCGCGUUAGAUUAGAUAGUUGGUGGGGUAAUGGCCUACCAAGUCUACGAUCUAUAGCUGGUUUUAGAGGAUGAUCAGCAACACUGGGACUGAGACACGGCCCAGACUCCUACGGGAGGCAGCAGUGGGGAAUCUUAGACAAUGGGCGCAAGCCUGAUCUAGCCAUGCCGCGUGAGUGAUGAAGGCCUUAGGGUCGUAAAGCUCUUUCGCCAGGGAUGAUAAUGACAGUACCUGGUAAAGAAACCCCGGCUAACUCCGUGCCAGCAGCCGCGGUAAUACGGAGGGGGUUAGCGUUGUUCGGAAUUACUGGGCGUAAAGCGCGCGUAGGCGGAUUAGAAAGUUGGGGGUGAAAUCCCAGGGCUCAACCCUGGAACUGCCUCCAAAACUACUAGUCUAGAGUUCGAGAGAGGUGAGUGGAACUCCGAGUGUAGAGGUGAAAUUCGUAGAUAUUCGGAAGAACACCAGUGGCGAAGGCGGCUCACUGGCUCGAUACUGACGCUGAGGUGCGAAAGUGUGGGGAGCAAACAGGAUUAGAUACCCUGGUAGUCCACACCGUAAACGAUGA
rnacentral:rRNA from 1 species